GACGAACGCUGGCGGCGUGCUUAACACAUGCAAGUCGAACGAGUGGCGAACGGGUGAGUAACACGUGAGUAACCUGCCCCUUCUUCUGGAUAACUGCUUGAAAGGGUAGCUAAUACGGGAUAGUGGGGGAUGGGCUCGCGGCCUAUCAGCUUGUGGGUGGGGUGAUGGCCUGCCAAGGCGGUGACGGGUAGCCGGUCUGAGAGGAUGAACGGCCACAUUGGGACUGGGACACGGCCCAGACUCCUACGGGAGGCAGCAGUUGGGAAUCUUCCGCAAUGGACGAAAGUCUGACGGAGCAACGCCGCGUGAGUGUUGACGGCCUUCGGGUUGUAAAGCUCUGUUAAUCGGGACGCGGUACCGGAAUAGAAAGCCACGGCUAACUACGUGCCAGCAGCCGCGGUAAUUC
rnacentral:rRNA from 1 species